rnacentral:rRNA from 1 species
UUCAUCGCAGGCGCGCGACGAUCGCGUGACGGAGGCGUUCGCGCGUUUCCGCACCUUUCGUUGUGUUCGAUCCGGCGACGAACGCGUGCACUUUUCUCCUGGUAGGACGUCGCGAUCCGUUGGGUGUCGGUCUAAGGAGUCAUACGGUGGAGCCCGCGAAUCACGGCCUCGUGUCGUUGUUUGCGGACCCGUUUCUUCCCGACCGACUCGCUCGACGGUAUACGAAAGGUUUAAGGCCGCUCUCACUCUACGAGCGUUCGACCCACGACAAGCGCGCUAGUAGCCGUUGGCUAUCGGACCUAGUGCCGGUACCGACCUCUGGUGACUGUUGGUCGUGGUGUUCUCGAACCGACCUUUUCGAAACCGAUCUGCGACGCUAUAGCUUUGGGUACUUUCAGGACCCGUCUUGAAACACGGACCAAGGAGUCUAGCAUGUGCGCGAGUCAUUGGGAAUUACUAAACCUAAAGGCGUAAUGAAAGUAAAGGUUCGUCUCGCACGAACCGAGGGAAGAUGAGAGAUUUACCCUUAAAAGUAGUCUCUCCGCAUUCCCGGGGCGUCUCGUUCUCAUCGCGAGAAGAGGCGCACCAAGAGCGUACACGCUGGGACCCGAAAGAUGGUGAACUAUGCCUGGUCAGGACGAAGUCAGGGGAAACCCUGAUGGAGGUCCGUAGCGAUUCUGACGUGCAAAUCGAU